GCCGGGGUAGCUCAGUCGGUUAGAGCAGCGGAAUCAUAAUCCGCGUGUCGGGGGUUCGAGUCCCUCCCCCGGCA
rnacentral:tRNA from 1 species